UGGGGAAUAUUGGACAAUGGGCGCAAGCCUGAUCCAGCCAUGCCGCGUGAGUGAUGAAGGCCCUAGGGUUGUAAAGCUCUUUCACCGGUGAAGAUAAUGACGGUAACCGGAGAAGAAGCCCCGGCUAACUUCGUGCCAGCAGCCGCGGUAAUACGAAGGGGGCUAGCGUUGUUCGGAUUUACUGGGCGUAAAGCGCACGUAGGCGGACUAUUAAGUCAGGGGUGAAAUCCCGGGGCUCAACCCCGGAACUGCCUUUGAUACUGGUAGUCUUGAGAGCGAGAGAGGUGAGUGGAAUUCCGAGUGUAGAGGUGAAAUUCGUAGAUAUUCGGAGGAACACCAGUGGCGAAGGCGGCUCACUGGCUCGAUACUGACGCUGAGGUGCGAAAGCGUGGGGAGCAAACAGG
rnacentral:rRNA from 1 species